CGAGGGUUUUCAUGCACGUGACCGAGAGCAUGACUUUGUUGUUUUCCUUUUAUAUUGACAAAGCUUUUGUCCGGUUGAAAUGUUAUUGAUUAUUAUGACUAAAAACAACCUAAGGAUUGAUUAUAAACAUCGUUUGACGUGUUUCUAUGAACUUUACUGAUACUUUUCGGAUUUUUCGUCUGUCUGUUGUUACUGCCUUUGAGCCUGUGGAUUACUGAACAAAAUGCGCGGACAAAACUGAGGUUUUUGGAUAUAAAGAGGGACUUUAUCGAACAAAACAAACAUUUAUUGAGUAAAUGGGAGUCUUGUGAGUGCAACCAUACGAAGAUCAAAGAGAGAGAGACAGCCUCCAAGACUCACCUCUACCUCAAGAAACCUACUUUUCCUACUCCAAUCUCCCCUCACAUCAAUCAUCAUGCACCUUGCGUUGUGUUCGUUCAUCAUGGGAGGAUCUUCAGUGGGGCAGUUUCUCCUCUCAACAUGGCUAAGAAACACACAGCAGUUAGCAAACUCUUUUCCAACUAUUGAAUACAACCACUGAUCAACUUCCAAUACUGUAGGGCUGAACCUCAUUGGAGGAAUCCAGUGUUGUGUUCGAGACCACCUUAAGCGAGACCGAUUCAAGACCAAGACCGGAGCGAAUCGAGUCCGAGUCAAAACCAAGACCGGAGAGGGGGUGAGACCAAGUCAAGACCGAGGCCAGGAGGGGGAUGAGAGGUUCGAGACCGAGUCAAACCGAGACCAGAAUAAUCCGAGAGGUCCGAGACCAAGUCCAAGUCAAGACCAUGACUAUAAUUUUGUAAAAUCGUGACCAAAAUAUGAUUUAAAAAUGUCCAGUAUUUCUGUGUUCAUAUUUCAGAAGAGUAUAUGAAUUCUUUAGAUAUUCAGAAUGGUGAAAAAAAAUGCAUGCUGAGGGCAAAUAGAGCCACUCUACAAUGAGGACCUUCUGUGCUUUCAGAGAAAGGCCAAGUAUUUAUAAAAUAAUAAAAAGUAAUUAUUAUUAUGUUGUUCUUUUCAAUGAUGUUCUGAUUUAAUCUCUUCAGUUUUUGCUACAAAGGUAAAGGUUAAUACUUUGGGGGUCUCUGGGGAGAUACAUCUAGCUAGCUAAGUCAGCCAUUGGCUGGGCCAUCAGAAGCUUGAUAGAAGGCAUCUGCCAUUCAACUGAAUUAGGGCAACAUUUUGGUGUGACAGUGGAAUCAACCAAUCACAUUGACUUGUAGUGGCCAACAGGUCAAAGGUCACUGUGAAAUAGCGAGCAGUAGUUUUCCCAAGGUCUAGCUAUCUUUUGUUGUAGGCUAGUUUGCAGUCACUGCAGCAGGUGCGUCAAAGAGAAUGUUGUUGCUAAUUUGCUAACUUCUCACUUUUCAAGAAUAACUUUCAAUGAGAAGUUAUGUUUCUAAUGAUCACCAUCUGGUGAGUGGA
rnacentral:lncRNA from 1 species